CAGCACUGGCUCCACUUGGUCAGUGUGGUUUUGCCUUUAUGGGGGUGGAGUUCACCUCAGCUGUGGACGGCAAAUAACCCUGUACAAAGAGGAAUGGAGAUUGCCUCUAUCCACCUAGAUUCAUAGGCUGCCCAGAGGCGAUCUUGGCAUCAAGGAAGGGAGCACUGAGGCACAUUGCACCAUCAGCUUCAGAGGAUGGCAGCCACUGAUUUGUCCCAUGGGUUUUUUUCUGGGGAACCAAUCUGCCCUUUUGAAGAAAAGACAAAGGUAGAAAGGAUGGUGGUGGACUACCUGGCAAAUGGUUGUCAGAAAGGGAAAUACAUCCUAGAACCAAAUGGUCAUCACUUCAGCAGGGUUUUUUGAAGAAUCAAAUAUUCAAUGGGAUAUGAAUGACAAGAGCCUACAGUGGAUGGAAACUCUGUGACUGUAAGAAUUGUGGAGAGGUCUUCAGUGAACAGUUUUGCCUUAAGACACAUGUGAGAGCUCAGAAUGAAGGGAACACUUCUCAGGGUAAUUGUUAUGGAAAAGAUGUCCUCAGUGUGCACAAGAAAGCUUCUAUUGGACAGGAACUUUCCAAAUUAAAUACAUGUGGAAAAAUCUUUGCUCUAACUGCAGGCUUUACUGUACAUCUUGAAAUUCUCAAUGCAAGACAAUCCUACAAAUGCAAGGAAUGUGGAAAAGGCUUUAAGUAUUUUGUGAGCCUUGAUAAUCACACGGAAAUCCACACUGGUGAGAAACUGUGAAUUUCAGGAUGUGGGAGAGCCAUCACAGCUUCCUCACACCUAAAGCAGUGUGUAACAGUUCAUACAGGAAAGAAAUCCAAAAAGACUAAGAAAUGUGGGAAAUCCUUCACUAAUUUUUCUCAACUUUAUACACAUGUGAAAACUCAUAAAGGAGAGAAGUCCUUUGAACGUAAAGAAUGUGGAAGAUCCUUUAGAAAUUCCUCAUGCCUUAAUAAUCACAUUCAAAUUCACACUGGAGUAAAACCAACAAGUGUACGUACUGUGGGAAAGCCUUCACUAGAUCAAAUCAACUUUAUUGAACCUGUAAGAACCCACACUGGAAUAAAACCCUAUGAAUGUAAGGAAUGUGGCCAAGCCUUCGCUCGGUACUCGGGCCUUUCUACACACAUAUGAAGUCACAGUAGAAAGAAACCCUAUCAGUAUAAGGAAUGUGGGAAAGCCUUCACUAUGCCCACAAGCCUUAUUCAACAUACAAGAAUUCACACAGGAGAGAAGCCUUAUGAAUGUGUUGAAUGUGGGAAGACCUUCAUUACUUCUUCCCGUCACAGUAAACAUUUUAAAAUCCAUAGUGGAGAAAAGCCCUUUGUAUGCAAGAUAUGUGGCAAAGCAUUUCUGUAUUCCUUACGCCUUAAUGUUCACCUGUGAACUCAUAAUGGAAAGAAACCCUUCGUAUGUAAAGAAUGUGGGAAAGCAUUUGCUGUUUCCUCACACCUAAGUAGACAUGAAAGAAUUCACACUGCAGAGAAACCCUAUGAAUGUAAGGGUAUGAGUGUUAUCAUUUAG